UGGGGAAUAUUGCACAAUGGGCGCAAGCCUGAUGCAGCCAUGCCGCGUGUGUGAAGAAGGCCUCGGGUUGUAAAGCACUUUCAGCGAGGAGGAAGGUGGUGAACUUAAUACGUUCAUCAAUUGACGUUACUCGCAGAAGAAGCACCGGCUAACUCCGUGCCAGCAGCCGCGGUAAUACGGAGGGUGCAAGCGUUAAUCGGAAUUACUGGGCGUAAAGCGCACGCAGGCGGUUUGUUAAGUCAGAUGUGAAAUCCCCGGGCUCAACCUGGGAACUGCAUUUGAAACUGGCAAGCUAGAGUCUCGUAGAGGGGGGCUAGAAUUCCAGGUGUAGCGGUGAAAUGCGUAGAGAUCUGGAGGAAUACCGGUGGCGAAGGCGGCCCCCCUGGACGAAGACUGACGCUCAGGUGCGAAAAGGCGUGGGGGCAGCAAACAGGAUUAGAUACCCC
rnacentral:rRNA from 1 species